UUGGAAUUGAAUGAUCUCUCUCUGGGCAUGUGAGCUUACUUGGGUCUCAUGGGACCAAAGAAAACUGAUAGUAUGAGAGAAACACAUUAUCUGUGAUAAAUAGCCUCAUUUAAUUGGAACCGAAUUUGCAAAAUUGGACCAUUUCUAAUCUUUCCCAUCCAUUAUAGCUCCAACUGGUUCAUUUCAUGCUUGACUGUGACCCUAAGAAUGACGUACAUUUUCCUCCAGUAUGAAGAAAAGAAAUCAUAGAUCAGUGUAACAGAAAGUUGUCCCAAUGUAUCCCCAAUAGAGAAGAGACAAAACAUCAAACACCAGUAGUGCCAAAACAUUUUACUGAAAUUUUUCUAACUUUUUCUCAAAGAACAUUACAAAAAGCAAGUAAAAUUGAUGACAAGUUACACACUAGAAAAUAACUUUUCUUUAAGGGCAGGCUUCUAGGGAGAGGCAAAGGAAAUAGGUAGAAACAUUUUUCUGUGGUUAAAAUACUAGAUUAGGCUAUUUUAUACAUAACUCAUUUGGAUCCAUUUACAGGGGGAAAAUAUGUCCCAGGCUUGGAAAUUAAAGCCAGACUGUGACCUACAAUCAAUAGGCUAGUUUCUUAUCCACCAAGCUGGUUUACAAAGAUCAGCGUACUAUUGGGAAAAAGCUUUUUGUUUAACCAGUAGCUCAACACCAACCAGAUUAAGGAAGAUGUAAAACUAAAAGGUUGAUUUGGAGGAAAGAAAUAAGGCACGGUGAUUGGCUUUUUUGCUUUCUUCUCAGGUUAUAGUUUUGUUUCCCUGUAGGAUACCAGAUGUAAAUCUCACAUAGCGAUCUCAUGUCAUCAAAGCUUUCCCGCUGAUGACUGAGAUUCCAGUUCUCCAGGUUCUCUUCAACUUGCUGUACCAUGCUGAACGCAUUAACUGAAAUCUAACUUGUGUGCUCAUAGGAGAGUUAUGUCUUUAACGGCUUGAGAAUCUGUGCUUUGACAACCAUGAGGUAGGAAGUACAUUUAUGGAGGAAAAUCUGAAUCACGGAGAAGGCACCAUUACCUGGACAGCUUUUAAGUUUUCUCUGGUCGCGGGUCUCUGGACCCAGGAGUCAUCAGUAACUGAAGUUGGCAGCUCAUGAUGGUAAUCCUAGCUACUCAGGAGGCUGACAGCCAGUCCAGAACAAAAAGUCUGCAAGACUUCCAUCUCCUGUUAACCAGCAGAAUUUCAGACUGGAGGCAUCGCUUAAGCGCACAUUUACCUUUCUGGAUUCUUCCAUGAAAAUGAUCAUAUCAGAAUGCAGCAGUCGUACUCGCUGCACCCUGUGGGAAAUGAACCAGGGAAGGAACUUGUGGCUUCAGGGGAGAUUGGACUUGAGGUCCUCAUAGAUCUUAAA